AGAGUUUGAUCCUGGCUCAGGACGAACGCUGGCGGCGUGCUAAUACAUGCAAGUCGAGCGGACAGAUGGGAGCUUGCUCCUGAAGUCAGCGGCGGACGGGUGAGUAACACGUGGGCAACCUGCCUGUAAGACUGGGAUAACUCCGGGAAACCGGGGCUAAUACCGGAUAAUUCUUUCCCUCACAUGAGGGAAAGCUGAAAGAUGGUUUCGGCUAUCACUUACAGAUGGGCCCGCGGCGCAUUAGCUAGUUGGUGAGGUAACGGCUCACCAAGGCAACGAUGCGUAGCCGACCUGAGAGGGUGAUCGGCCACACUGGGACUGAGACACGGCCCAGACUCCUACGGGAGGCAGCAGUAGGGAAUCUUCCGCAAUGGACGAAAGUCUGACGGAGCAACGCCGCGUGAGUGAUGAAGGUUUUCGGAUCGUAAAACUCUGUUGUUAGGGAAGAACAAGUACCGGAGUAACUGCCGGUACCUUGACGGUACCUAACCAGAAAGCCACGGCUAACUACGUGCCAGCAGCCGCGGUAAUACGUAGGUGGCAAGCGUUGUCCGGAAUUAUUGGGCGUAAAGCGCGCGCAGGCGGUUCCUUAAGUCUGAUGUGAAAGCCCCCGGCUCAACCGGGGAGGGUCAUUGGAAACUGGGGAACUUGAGUGCAGAAGAGAAGAGUGGAAUUCCACGUGUAGCGGUGAAAUGCGUAGAGAUGUGGAGGAACACCAGUGGCGAAGGCGACUCUUUGGUCUGUAACUGACGCUGAGGCGCGAAAGCGUGGGGAGCAAACAGGAUUAGAUACCCUGGUAGUCCACGCCGUAAACGAUGAGUGCUAAGUGUUAGAGGGUUUCCGCCCUUUAGUGCUGCAGCAAACGCAUUAAGCACUCCGCCUGGGGAGUACGGCCGCAAGGCUGAAACUCAAAGGAAUUGACAAUCG
rnacentral:rRNA from 2 species